AUUGAACGCUGGCGGCAUGCUUUACACAUGCAAGUCGAGCGGCAGCGCGGGGGCAACCCUGGCGGUGAGCGGCGGACGGGUGAGUAGAGCAUCGGAACGUAUCCCGUAGUGGGGGACAACCCAGCGAAAGCUGGGCUAAUACCGCAUAUGCUCUACGGAGGAAAGUGGGGGACUCGCAAGGGCCUCACGCUAUGGGAGCGGCCGACGUCCGAUUAGGUAGUUGGUGGGGUAAUGGCCCACCAAGCCGACGAUCGGUAGCUGGUCUGAGAGGAUGAUCAGCCACACUGGGACUGAGACACGGCCCAGACUCCUACGGGAGGCAGCAGUGGGGAAUUUUGGACAAUGGGGGCAACCCUGAUCCAGCCAUGCCGCGUGCGGGAAGAAGGCCUUCGGGUUGCAAACCGCUUUUGUCUGGGAAGAAAAGGCCAUCCCUAAUACGGGUGGUUCUUGACGGUACUGGAAGAAUAAGCACCGGCUAACUACGUGCCAGCAGCCGCAGUAACAC
rnacentral:rRNA from 1 species